rnacentral:misc_RNA from 1 species
GGGCCAUCAUACCAUGGGACACAUAAUGUCAACCAGGUAUGCAACAGAAUGACUAAAAAGUCAUGAUAGCAAUCUGGCAUAAAGCCAUAUACAUCAUAAUGCAACAGAAUAGCUAGAAGUCAUAAUCAAUAGAAUGACAUAAAAGCCAUAAUCACAGAAUGGCAUAAAGUCAUAGGCAGUACUGCAAAACAGAACCCUUCUUAGCAUGCCAAUCUAUCCACCCCAUACACACAUGUUUAGGCAUACAUAGGCAAAUUAGUAUCAUUAUGUAUUUACAAUUCUCGUUAAUUCAUCGCAUGUAAUAUUCUUUUCUCAUAGUGUCAUCAUUCCAUCCAUGAUGGUAUUUCAACAUUCUCACUUUUCAUCAUUAUGUAUCAUUCAUUUAUCAUGAUAUUAUCAUUUCAAUCAUAAUG